rnacentral:tRNA from 1 species
GGAGGAGUAGCUCAGUGGUCAGAGCUGAAAGAAGUGAAGCGGACGAGCCAACCAUGGAAAGCGUUUGAGUCCGUGUGUAGUAGCCGCGGAUUCGAAUCCCGCCUCCUUCA